AUUGAACGCUGGCGGAAUGCUUUACACAUGCAAGUCGAACGGCAGCACGGACUUCGGUCUGGUGGCGAGUGGCGAACGGGUGAGUAAUGUAUCGGAACGUGCCCAGUCGUGAGGGAUAACGUAGUGAAAAUUACGCUAAUACCGCAUACGAUCUAUGGAUGAAAGCGGGGGAUCGCAAGACCUCGCGCGAUUGGAGCGGCCGAUAUCAGAUUAGGUAGUUGGUGGGGUAAAGGCCCACCAAGCCAACGAUCUGUAGCUGGUCUGAGAGGACGACCAGCCACACUGGCACUGAGACACGGUCCAGACUCCUACGGGAGGCAGCAGUGGGGAAUUUUGGACAAUGGGCGAAAGCCUGAUCCAGCCAUUCCGCGUGCAGGAUGAAGGCCCUCGGGUUGUAAACUGCUUUUGUACAGAACGAAAAGGUUUCUACUAAUACUAGGAGCUCAUGACGGUACUGUAAGAAUAAGCACCGGCUAACUACGUGCCAGCCGCCGCAGUAA
rnacentral:rRNA from 1 species